GAUGAACGCUAGCUACAGGCUUAACACACGCAAGUCGAGGGGCAGCAUGGUCUUAGCUUGCUAAGGCCGAUGGCGACCGGCGCACGGGUGAGUAACGCGUAUCCAACCUGCCUUACACUCUUGGACAGCCUCCUGAAAGGGAGAUUAAUACAAGAUGUUAUCAUGAGUAAGCAUUUUCACAUGAUUAAAGGUAUUCCGGUAGACGAUGGGGAUGCGUUCCAUUAGAUAGUAGGCGGGGUAACGGCCCACCUAGUCUUCGAUGGAUAGGGGUUCUGAGAGGAAGGUCCCCCACAUUGGAACUGAGACACGGUCCAA
rnacentral:rRNA from 1 species